rnacentral:lncRNA from 1 species
UGAAAAACUUCUCUGAGAGACAGAUGACAAGUGCCUUCUGUCCUCUAUUCUUUAUUCGUUUUUGUACUUCACAUGCUGCCUAGGGCCACACCCUUUUGGUGGUGAGUGGGGAGCUGGAAGGAGCCAGGUUCUUGAGGACUUUAUAGGCGCCCUGCUUUGAGAAGCAAGACUCAAGAGAAUGGGUAUGGACUUGGAUCUGGAGGUCUGGAAGAGAAACUGGAUUCAACAGGCUUGAGGGGCCGUCUUCCUUGGACGCAGUGAACACCAGCCCCUUCCUGUACCAUGUCAUAUGGCAGGCAGUUCUUGGAGCAGCUGUUCUCUUCAAUUCUGGCUGGCCAUAAGUCCUUUAGAGCUAGGCAGGCCCCCACCUUUUAGAACUAGGUAUCAGGCAAAUCAUCAAGACGGGGGAACUAGGAAACAGGUUGAGCCUGUUCACCAUCAUGUGGAAGCCAGUUAUCAAGAUGAAGGCACAAGGCUCAAGUAGCAAGAACAAAGAAGCCGAGUCACUCUAUCUGUUGUUGCAUAGACUUCUUAGGUUUACCCUACCCAGGUGCGGGACUGUCCCAUGCCUGAGCAUGGUGACGGCGAGGAGGGGAGGGGUCUGGCUGCAGGAAUAGGAGGGAUGCAGACCUAGGAACUGGCAGCCAUUCCCAGGGCUCUCUGGCUGGAGCAUCAUGAUUCUCUCUUCUGCCCUGGACUGAGUUAAGCAAGGAGCAGAGGCCUCGAUCUCUCCCCUUGAGCACCUCCUCUAACCAGAGUCAGAGGAAGCCCAGGAAGCUGGGAGGGAAAGCCCUAUACAAACUGUCACCGUGGUUCUGCCGCACAGAGCUAUGGGUCAUCUGGGAGAGACUGAGUCUUCCUCUCCUGAGAACUUCAAUGUGAAGCCUUUCAGUAAGGAAACAGCUUUUCUUUGAAGUCAGAGGACAGCUAUCACCCAGUCAUUUGUGAAGCAGAUGAGAGCCACAUGCUCCAAACCCUCUGGGCCUUUGCUAUAGGAAAGGAGGAAAAGCGAAAGACUGAUUAGCAUACUUGAAGAUGCCAGACCUGGCCCGCACUGCCACAGUUAGUCCAUUAUCUUUCUCCUUCUCAGUGCUACACAGAGUCAGCCAGUGAGACAGUUAGGUGACCAGGCUUGGAGCUCCAUGUGACCUUGGAAACACAGGCCAAGCCAGGAGAUAGCCCACAGAGGAAUACACACGGCCAUCCUGUGAAGACCUCACCCCCAGGAUGGCGUUACUACAGUCUCACAGAUAAAAUACCCUCAUUACUCACCUGUCCUGGUGCUGCUGCUUGCCUACCCGUUUGCCUUUUUCAGUAGACACUGGGAGUCUAGAAGUUUGAGAAAGAGGAUGGGGCAGGUGCUGGGGUCCCUGGUAAUUCUGUUCCAGUCUCUUGAGGUCCUACUAAUAGCACAUGAACUAUGCAGGAAGAAAAGAGAAGGAAAUGCAUAGGCAGGCCCCAUC